rnacentral:lncRNA from 1 species
GGUUGGUCACCGAAUUGCUGCUCAAAUGGCAUUAUGUCCUCAUGGAAUAAGAACUGCUGCUGCUGCUGCACCAAGUUGUCAACUUCUUCAAACACAUUGCCACCCAAUCUAGUCCCUUGGGGAAAGUUGUCUUCCAUCUGAAUUCUAGGUUGAACAGAAUUCAUCAUUUUCGACAUACCUAUGCCGCCCAUAUUCAAGUUCUUGUUAGCAUUGACAUUGUUGUCAUAGAAACUCAUCAGCUCAUUGAUUGAUUUCUGACCAUCGUAGGGAACACCAACAUCAGAUAUGUCAACGGAAUUGAGCCCUGAUCCGAGUGAAGUUGGAUCGAGUUGGGUGUUAAAUGGCAAAGAGAAAAUCGGUGGCUUGUUCCCUUUCAUCUUGGGUCCACUAAUUGCUGAUCCGAUGCCUUGAGGAAU